ensembl:snRNA U2 U2 spliceosomal RNA
GCCGCUUCUCGGCCUUUUGGCUAAGAUCAAGUGUAGUAUCUGUUCUUAUAUUGAUUGGGGAGUGCAUUCUCGAUAAAUGAUAUACUAUUGGGACCCCUC